rnacentral:rRNA from 1 species
GAUUAGAUACCCUAGUAUUAUAAGAGGAGUUUAAUUAUUAUAGUUUGAAAUUUAAGAAUUUUGGCGGUUAAUUAUUGUUUAGAGGAGCUUGUUAAAAUAGAAAUUACUCUUUUUAUCUUAAGUAUUUGAAUGUUUAUUCAUCUCCGUUAUUAGAUUAUUUAGUUAAAAUUAAUUAAUGAGUUAAGAUCUCAGGUCAAGAUGUAGCAUAUGGAUGAUUAAUUUAUUAGCUACAAUUUUUUAAAAAUGAAUAGUUUAAGUUAGCAAAUUUUUGAAAUUGAAUUUAAUUGUAAUAUGGAUUAGAAUGUUUAUGUGAAGGUUAAUAUUUAAUGCACAGAUUGCCCGUCACUUCUGUUUAAAAAUGGAAUAAGUCGUAACAAAGUA